UUACGGCCUUAUCACGUUGAAACACGGCUUCCCGUAUAUCAUUGAAGUUAAGCAGUGCCGAACCUGGUCAGUACCUAGAUGGGUGACCGCUUGGGAAUAUUCAGUGCUGUAAG